GAGCCCUUGGAGACGCUUGAACUCAGCUCUCAUUUUCCAGAACAGGAAACCAGAGAAAUUAGAAGUAGGCUUUGCAGGUGAGGAUGCAUGACAGUGCUGUAGACAAGCUGUAACCGUGCUGGUGACGCAGCGCCAGCUCUGCACUAGCUGGGAUGUGGCAGUGGACGCUACAGACCAAAACUUGCCUUUAUACAGUUUCAACCUAGUGUGAGGUGAGGCAAGUAAAUGCCAAGCUGGUCGGUUGAUGGUAAGCACUUUGGAGGAAAAUAAAGCAGGGGCUGGGAAUAGGGAGUUCCAGGAAGGGAGGUGCCAGGUAAAAGAGGAUGGCCAGGGAAGGCCUUGCUCAGAUGCAAAGGCCUGAUGGAAGUAAGCGGGGAGCCAGGCAGCUACCCAGGGGAAGAAUUCACCUAUAUCUUCUUGUUUUUAUAAAACAACACAGUUUACAGUUCAGGCAUUCCAUACCCAUUUAGCUACUAAUGUGUCGGCCUUCUGGCUAAACAGUAGCUUUUUUAUUUUUCAUGCUUUUAUCAUCCCUGAUUGCCUCAUUGUUCCCUAUUUGGCCUCUCAAUUUCCAUACCACGGAUGACCAACUCCCUGCAGUAAAUUCUGUGCAUGAAAUAUUGAUCCUCGGCAGGUUUCUGUCUUCCCAAAUGGUGCCAUGCUGACAUAAUGUGUAGGAGUGAAUUGCAUCUGGGAUCAUCACAUGCUCUGCCCCAUCAUAUGUGUGUUUCUCCUCCAGUGCCGUGAAGAUCUUUGUGAAGAAAGAGGUGUUCACCCAUUGAGAGAUGGGGAAUUCAUUCUGGCUUAUACAUGGUUUGGCUUGAAUUUGGAUGUGGUUCUCUAGUGCCGUGAAGAUCUUUGUGAUGGAAGAAAUGUUCACCCAGUGAGCCAUUCGGAGAAGAAUGCAUGAUCUGGAACUAAAUUAUGUCCACUGUGAAGAUAAGGAUGAAUGCCCCCCAGACAGUGCCCAGGCUAGUACUCCUUCAAAGACAAGAUUCCCUUCCCAGGUACUGAGGUCACAUUGACUUGCUGUUUAUGUGCUAAUCUGUUUCAUUUGAAACCUUUAAAGAAUAUGUUAAUACCUCUACCAUCGUUGAUGUUCUUCAUUCUGACAAGAUAUAAAGCUCUGCUGAAAGCCAUGCUUCUCCAGAGGGCUGUCUUCUUGGUAGAGCCUGCACUCCUGGGCUGUAGUCCUUAGUUGGGCUGAGUGAAACUCUGUUUUUUUCUGUUUCUUUCGUAGAUUGUUGAUUGAGUAUUUGCAUCGACGUUUGGAACUUCCGGGCUUGUGCUUGCUUAUAAGCCAACACCACCUCUAUUAGCUAAGAUUGUUUGAGUGUGUCCCACAUCAUGCUGAUCCUUGUAUCUGCCCAGAAGUCCGGACACAGCAGUCCCUCUGUCCCUGCCCCCCCUGCAGGUCUACCAGCAGUUCCCUUAGCUGAGCACUCUAGAAUCUAGCCAGGAGCUGUCCAACAGCUGUUUGGUUGUUUCCCAAACCAGGUUGGACAGGGCUACAUGCUGAGUUUUCUUAAGUUAGAACCUGUGAAUGAAAAAUAUUGCCUGCCGUAUCAGAAUGUUGCAGCCAUCAAACCUUUACAUUACAUCCACCCGGAAGGUGAGCCCUGACGGCACUCAGGAAGAAGGCAUGAUCCCCCUCCAUCUAGCAGUCAGCCACUGCAGCUAUCCUUGUCAGUGCACCCCGAGGAGAGUCUGGAUAAGAACAGAACACUGGCUGCAGAUAGCUGAGGUGCAUAGCAAAGGAAUGAUUUCAAAAAGCCCAGGCUUUGUAUCUUCCCUUACAUAGAAAAGUGCUAAAUUCCUUUGAGAUACCUGCUUUUCCUUAAUUUACAGUGAUGUUUUGAUGUUCUG
ensembl:lncRNA